GAUGUUCUGGCUUUUUGACACAUACAAAGGUUUGAGGAGUACUCACUGCCACCUUCGAGUGCACUGGAAAACUAAUUUCCAUAAUGGGAAAAGAAAUGGAUGCGACCACACUUGCUGUGCAUGGACUAUUAUCGAGAUAAUAUCGAUCUUCAGAAUGACCAUUGUACAGAACAUGCAAUGUCUGACAAAGAAAAUUACGUUGCACCGUCUUCACAAGAGUCAGUACUAUGGUGUAUGGCACUGCAUUUCCAGAUUUGUCAUCUCAAUUAUUUUUCAAAUCUGCAGUUGAAUUGGAAAGAUGCAGCUGGGUCAAAGCUUUUACUUCCUCCUUCAAACAACGUUAAAGCUUUAAACAAAAUACAAGAAAAAGGGCUGGUAAAACUCAACGGGUCAGUCAGAAUCCAUGGAAAGAAACAGUGAUCAUUUGACCUGGAAGGUUAACUCUAAUUCAAACGCAAUCUGCUGCAACUGAUGUUGUUUUCUUCCCAACAUUGUUUUAAUUAUAUCUUUCAGAUUUCCAGCAUUGGCAGUGUUUUGUUUUAAUAGAAAGACUUUGUUUAUUUUCCUCAUUUGUGACUUCUUACAUUAUGCAGAAUCUUCUCAGUCCCUGAAUAAGACCUGCUGGAAAUGGAGACACAAUGGGAGAAGACAAUGUAGCAGUUUUUCUUGCAUUCGGAUGAUUGGAAAGGAACCAUUGCAGUAGACAACAGUUACUUCAGCCCUAACAAGAGCAACAGCUGCCAUUGGUUGUUGCAAGGCACCUAGAGGGAGAAGAUUGACCCUGGAGGAGAAGAGUUUUGGCUCAGAACUGAAUCUACAGACUUGGGAGCAGCUAUCUGCAAAUGACUGAGAGCCAGUGGAGAAGAAGACUAAGGAUGCCCCGAGGCAUCAUGUCACACCAUACCAGCUGCUGGAAGAGGUCCUGUGCAAAUAAGGACUGGAUGGCAAUCUCAUCUUGGUAGCCCUAAAGGUUUACACUGGUUUGAAAAAUUCUUAAGAGGUGUAGAAAGCCAGAUAUAAGUGGGGGUGUCCUCUUGUUGCCCAGCAAUCAUCCUCAUAAGGGCUAAGGGCCUUUGAAAGAGGGUGGCACUUGUGGGUGGUCCAGGUUGUAUGGGCAAUAGUAACUUCCUUCAUACUCAGAGGAGACCUGCAAGAUCUGACUGCUUUGGUCACAAACUAUUUGAGCACUAACCAGGUGGGAUCGGUUUCUGUUCAUAAAGAUUGCUGGUUCAUGAUAGGGCACACUGUGCUACUGAUUGCAAACUGCACUUCUGGGAAGCUGUUUAAUGUUUCUGGAAAUGUGUAAUUUCUGUAAUCAACUGGGGACCUCUCUAAAAUUUUACAGUCCUCUGCUUAUAAGUGCAUCCAGGAUGUCAAUGAGGCCGUAUUCAUGACACCCUACCUCAUCGUCUUAAUCCCCCUUGACACAGCUAGUCAAUCAGAGAGGGCAUUAGAAUUCUCAGGCAUCACCAGCUUCCUACAAGUGCAAGAUACAAAUACUUAUAUACUCUUGACCCAGCCAGCAUGGUCAAACCUUCAGUUUUCAGCAGUACCUCAUUUCCUUCAACAGGUGUCACUGAAGUUCCACUUCUUACUGACAUUGCUUAACCAAUGUUAAAGGUUAGACAGGAAACGCCACUCAUUUCAGAAGAUUAACAUUUCUCUGUAAUGUUUGCUGUGACAGACAAUUUUACAGUAGAGAUUAACCAGGGAAUGUGUCUCCUAGUUUCAGUUACAGCAGAAAUGUUUACAUGCCUAUUGUAUGCUGAACUGCCCUAUUAGCUGAUUGCAAUCUGCUGUGUACCUGACAGUGAUUAAAUUUUAGGUUUCAAGUAAUUGAUUUAUUCAUUCAUUCUGAAAUGUGCAGCUUCUCUCAGUAGGAUACAUUUUCAUGUCUUACACACUUUGCAGGGAAACGUACGUUCUCUAUUCCUGACAUUAUAUCAGUUUACUUGUGUGUAAAAUUUGAAAAUGUAUUAAGUUUAAUGUUUCAUUUGCAGCUCAUACCUAAAUUGCCCGUGCAUUCUUCACUGCACGUGUGCAUUUGGUCACUGGCUUUACUUCACUGGGCCUAAUUGAUAGAAUGUGUCAAGUGCAUUCAGGUGUUAAGUAGGAACAUUUCUGCAAGCAGUAUUUCACAAUUACAUGCUUAAAUGUUUGGGCUGGAUAAUUAUUUAAUUGGUUUAGUAUAUUGAACCAAGGUUAUUCAAGAGAUUUUUAAAUAUAUUGAAUUUGGCCUAAGAUCUGAUUUCAUUGAAGUGAUAUCAAGCUGGAAACAAUAAUCUUAAAUAUGCAAAUAUGCCUUUUGAUUAUUAUUAACCAAAAAUUAAAUGGAAUGCAUUGAAAAUAUAUAAAAGUAAGCAAAAUGAGUUUUGCUAAAGGCUAAACUAUUGCAAAACGCUACUUGCCUUGUUAAUCAAGUGACCAAUUGUUUCAUAUUUUGUUGUCAGUUGUAACA